rnacentral:rRNA from 1 species
UACGUAGGUGGCAAGCGUUGUCCGGAAUUAUUGGGCGUAAAGCGCGCGCAGGCGGUUAUGUAAGUCUGAUGUUAAAGCCCGAGGCUCAACCUCGGUUCGCAUUGGAAACUGUGUAACUUGAGUGCAGAAGAGGAAAGUGGUAUUCCACGUGUAGCGGUGAAAUGCGUAGAGAUGUGGAGGAACACCAGUGGCGAAGGCGACUUUCUGGUCUGUAACUGACGCUGAGGCGCGAAAGCGUGGGGAGCAAACAGG